rnacentral:rRNA from 1 species
UACGGAGGGGGCUAGCGUUGUUCGGAAUUACUGGGCGUAAAGCGUGCGCAGGCGGUCCGCAAAGUCUGAUGUGAAAGCCCCGGGCUUAACCUGGGAACUGCGUUUGAAACUGGGAGACUUGAGUGUGGCAGAGGGGGGUGGAAUUCCACGUGUAGCAGUGAAAUGCGUAGAUAUGUGGAGGAACACCGAUGGCGAAGGCAGCCCCCUGGGUUAACACUGACGCUCAUGCACGAAAGCGUGGGGAGCAAACAGG